rnacentral:ncRNA from 2 species
UAUGAUCACUAGGGGUGCUGUAUGCUGAGAUGGCGGAUUGCCAAUCCCUUUGAACCUGAUUUGGUUAGAACCAACGUAGGGUAUUGCAUCCGUACAUAA